rnacentral:misc_RNA from 1 species
UCGCGGCUUAUCACCGGCAGUCCCCUUAGAGUGCCCAACUGAAUGAUGGCAACUAAGGGCGAGGGUUGCGCUCGUUGCGGGACUUAACCCAACAUCUCACGACACGAGCUGACGACAGCCAUGCAGCACCUGUCACCGGUCCAGCCGAACUGAAGGGAUCGAUCUCUUGUUCCCGCGACCGGGAUGUCAAGCCCUGGUAAGGUUCCGCGCGUAUCAUCGAAUUAAACCACAUGCUCCUCCGCUUGUGCGGGCCCCCGUCAAUUCCUUUGAGUUUCACCGUUGCCGGCGUACUCCCCAGGUGGAUUACUUAUCGCUUUCGCUAAGCCACUAAAAGUUGCCCUCUAGCAGCGAGUAAUCAUCGUUUACAGUGUGGACUAC